rnacentral:lncRNA from 1 species
UUGAGGCUGCGGGUAAAUCUUUGGAAGAUAGAAGAUAUUGGCCAAACCCCUUGCUUUCUUCUCUCACAAAACACACCACACUCAACAGGAGAUGGAAAGCAUAAGCCAUGGGAUCAGAGGAACUCUUGACCCCUCUUCUCACCUACUAAAGCUGUUGAGGAGGUGGUAACCAAGUAACUCUGCCCAGGAAAAUGCUCUUUGGGGUUAUUGGAAGAUGUCAAGCCGAGAUAAUUCUGUAGUACGUGGAGGAUGGAUUGGACCAUCCUCCAACUUAGUUGGUGCAAGGACACCAAGUGUGUCCUGUGUCCUGGCUAUUGAAAUAGACAGGUAUGUAACAUUUAAAUUAGUUUCUUAC